rnacentral:rRNA from 1 species
GAUGAACGCUGGCGGCGUGCUUAACACAUGCAAGUCGAACGGAAAGGCCCAAGCUUGCUUGGGUACUCGAGUGGCGAACGGGUGAGUAACACGUGGGUGAUCUGCCCUGCACUUCGGGAUAAGCCUGGGAAACUGGGUCUAAUACCGGAUAGGACGAUGGUUUGGAUGCCAUUGUGGAAAGUUUUUUCGGUGUGGGAUGAGCUCGCGGCCUAUCAGCUUGUUGGUGGGGUAAUGGCCCACCAAGGCGUCGACGGGUAGCCGGCCUGAGAGGGUGUACGGCCACAUUGGGACUGAGAUACGGCCCAGACUCCUACGGGAGGCAGCAGUGGGGAAUAUUGCACAAUGGGCGCAAGCCUGAUGCAGCGACGCCGCGUGGGGGAUGACGGCCUUCGGGUUGUAAACUCCUUUCGCUAGGGACGAAGCGUUUUUGUGACGGUACCUGGAGAAGAAGCACCGGCUAACUACGUG